rnacentral:rRNA from 1 species
UACGGAGGGGGCGAGCGUUAUUCGGAAUCAUUGGGCGUAAAGGGCGUGUAGGCGGUUUGUUAAGUCAUGUGUGAAAUCUCUCGGCUCAACCGGGGAACGACGCAUGAAACUGGCAAGCUAGAGUACCAAAGAGGGGGGUGGAAUUCCCGGUGUAGCGGUGAAAUUCGUAGAUAUUCGGAGGAACACCAGAAGCGAAGGCGGCCAACUGGCCCGAUACUGACGCUGAGGCGCGAAAGCGUGGGGAGCAAACAGG